UACGAAGGGGGCUAGCGUUGCUCGGAAUUACUGGGCGUAAAGGGAGCGUAGGCGGAUAGUUUAGUCAGAGGUGAAAGCCCAGGGCUCAACCUUGGAAUUGCCUUUGAUACUGGCUAUCUUGAGUACGGAAGAGGUAUGUGGAACUCCGAGUGUAGAGGUGAAAUUCGUAGAUAUUCGGAAGAACACCAGUGGCGAAGGCGACAUACUGGUCCGUUACUGACGCUGAGGCUCGGAAAGCGAUGGGGAGCCAAA
rnacentral:rRNA from 1 species